rnacentral:rRNA from 1 species
CCUACGGGAGGCAGCAGUGAGGAAUAUUGGUCAAUGGGCGGGAGCCUGAACCAGCCAAGUCGCGUGAGGGAAGACGGUCCUAUGGAUUGUAAACCUCUUUAGGCGGGGAGCAAUGCCGGGCACGCGUGCCCGGAGGGAGAGUACCCGCAGAAUAAGCAUCGGCUAACCCCGUGCCAGCAGCCGCGGUAAUACGGAGGCUGCGAGCGUUAUUCGGAUUUAGUGGGUUUAAAGGGUGCGUAGGCGGAUUUUUAAGUCAGCGGUAAAAUGUCCGGGCUCAACCCGGGCCGGCCGUUGAAACUGGGGAUCUUGAGUGGGCGAGAAGUAUGCGGAAUGCGUGGUGUAGCGGUGAAAUGCAUAGAUAUCACGCAGAACUCCGAUUGCGAAGGCAGCAUACCGGCGCCCGACUGACGCUGAGGCACGAAAGCGUGGGGAUCGAACAGGAUUAGAUACCCGGGUAGUC